CAGGCAGAAGCACUUUGUCUCUGCUCGAGGCUUUUUAAUGUGGCGAGCUGAAGCCACGCCCCCCUGCCGGACCACACAGUUGCAGUGCGCGCUUUAACUGACACCGUUACUCGCGUGACUCCUCCUAGCUCUCGCGCGCUCCGAAAGUCAACCAGACGUUGGGAAAUUACGGCAAAGGUCCUUCCAGCAUCGACACAAACAAACACACCGGGAGGAGCUCCUGAUGAACCGGGUGUGAAUCAAAGCUCCGACUGCAUCCUGUAAAAAGGGCAAAGGAACAACUCUCUACACCUUCAAUAGUUGAUUUGCUUUUUUAAUUAAACCACCACCGAUAUGUGGUGUGUUUGUU